rnacentral:lncRNA from 1 species
AGACACCACAUGCGCAGGGCCGACUGCAUUCCCACGGCGACGGCCUCCUGGCCCGCAUCAUGACUGUUGUUUUCCUCGCGGUGGCCAUAGCUUUUGGAUUUUACAUUCAGAUUGGUUCAAGGGGCUUUUUCCUUUCUCUGUUUGAAGGAAGCCACCCUCUCGAUCCCCAGUCAGCGUGGCGUCCUCUCAGCAACCCGCUCCUGGUCUUGCUUUGACUCCUGUGCUCCCGGGCUGCCGAGAACACGUCUGGAGCUUUUAAAUCAGGGUGAGUCCCAGCCGCCGAGGAAGCACUGAACAAAAAGGCCACCGCUGGGGAGCUGCAGGGGCACAGACGGAGCCUGGGAGCGGGGCUGACCAUGGGGAAGAAGGGGAGGUGGGAAAGAAGGCCCGGCCACCUCCACUGCUACAGCCACAGCGACAACAGUAGACAGUGACAGGCCCUGCCUGCCACGCACUGCAGAGUCUGUGGCUCUCCCCUGUUAAGUAAGAGCAGUCGGCGCUGACGUUCAGUGAGGUCAUGAGGAUACUCACAGAACUUUCUGGAAUAAGGGUCAGGCUGCGAAGCAUUCCCCAGACAUUGUAACAUCCAGCCAGUCACUCGUGGCAUUUAGCUUUUAGGUUCAUCUCUGUGAAUAAUCAUCACAAAUAUUUACUGAGCAUCCUUCAUCUCCUGGAAGCCUCGUGGAUUAUCUUGCUGAAUCCUCACCACAGCAGCCCGCUGAGGGAGGUGCUAUCAUCGUCCCUGUUUUUCAAGGGAGAGAAUCAAGGGACAAGGUCUUGCUAUGUUGCCCAAGCUGAUCUUGAACUCCUGGCCUCAAGCAAUCCCAAUAGUUCGGUCUCCCAAAUUGCUGAGAUUGUGGGUACAAGCCACUGCACCUGGACUUCUUCUGACAUUAUAAAGCAAAGAGCAUUUUCAAAAGCUGAUGCUACUUGUGCAUAUUCCAUAUUUGCUGAGCGCUUACUGUGUCCCCAUUAAGUGCCAGGCACAGUUUUCAGCACUGCUUUAAAGUGUCUACAAGCUUAGAAAGGGCAUAGGCAUCUCUUGAAAUCCAGUGUUCUAGGGAAAGUUUUUCCUGUGGUUUUGCACAGAACCCACCGCUUCCUGUCCAAGGUGACAGCUUUAGCUGGGAGAGAAAUUAAAAAUGCCUCCUUGGAAUAGCUAUCUGAUGUGUCUAAAUAUGAUUGCUGAUGUUAGCAAUAGGACCUGCCUAUUAGCAAUGGUUUGGGCAACUGUAUGUGUGAGGCAGGGAGAGAAAGAGGAAGAAAAUACAGCUCUCACUAUUGUUUCCAAAUGGCAAGACUGGUUUUCCUGCUACCUACUAACCAGUGUAGUUAUUAGUGUUACAUAUCACCUCUGCAUCUUAUUUAUGUAAUAUUCCAAGAAGCUAAAAAAAAAAACCUCUUUUUUUUUUUUUUUUUACAAAUCUUAGAUUUUAUGAACACUUGCUAAUAGCCCCCCCCUCCUAGAUCGUCAUUGCUGUGUAACAAAUUGUCAUACAUUUAGCAGUUUAAAAUACCACACAUUUACUCACAGCUUCCAUGGGCCACGAGUGUGGGGACGAGUGACUGGGUCGUCUGCUCAGGGUCUCUUACAAGACUCCAUCAGCGUUUCAGCUGGGGCUGGGGUCUCAUCUGAGGCUCAGGGUCCUCACUCCAGGUCACAGGGCAGAAUUCAUUUCUUUCAAGCUACGGAUCUCAUGGCAGCUUGCUUUUUCAAGGCCAGCAAGGGAGAGAGUGAAUCUGCUGCUUUUAGUGUCUGACCUCUCGAUCUUCUUUUAAAUGGCUCAUCUGAUUAGGGCAGACCCACCCAGGAUAAUCUCUCUUUUGACUAACUUACAGUCAACUCAUUAGAGAUCCUAAUUACAUCUGCAAAAAUCCCCUCACCUUUGCCUGAUAAUGUGACAUCAUCACGGGGGCAAUAUCCCAUCACUUUUGCCAUAUACUAUUGGCUAGAAGCAAAUUAAGGUCCUGCUACCACUCAAGGGGAGGGGAUUACACAAGGGCAUGGGACAUCAGGGGUCAUCUUAGAAUUCUGGCAACCAGAAUAAGCUACUUGUGGAUAGACAUGUUGUCAUACAUAUUUUUUGUUCAGUCAUUAUGCUUAGCAGAGAAAUAGGCACACAGCAGAAAAAUAACUGAUUGGUACGGAGAAUUUAGUGAUUGGAAACGAAUUAAUAUUGUUAAGACACAAAGUUUCUUGCAGAGCACACUCUGAAAAAGGUCACUUUUUACCCCUCAAUAUGUCUUAAUGGGUUGAGGUAGAGAGAAGCGUGGGUAGGUAUCAAUCACGAGAGCACACAGGCUAAAAGAAAGAAAAAAUGAGCUGGGACAUCUAAGUUCAACUUCCACUUCCUCCUAUACAAGCUGGGUGACCUUUUCCUAUCUAGAAAGUGGGAGAAGUAGUUCCUGUCCUCCCUUACAGGGCUGCUGAGCAGGCAGAAUGAGAUGAUGGGCUGAGAGGGCUUGGAGAGGACAAACUGUGGGUACAAAAGUCUUAUUGUCCUGGCCCGGAUUGCUAAGGAGAUGGUGGUUAAUAAUAUGCUGCUAUCUCAUGAGGUAAAUGCGUGAUCACAUAGCCAAGAGAUGCCUUUUUGUUCUAAUGAUCACUGUAAGACCUUCUUGAGAGACAGUCCAAGUCUCUCCAGCACAAUGGAAAAUUGCAUUUUCUAUGCACACAUUCGAGGGGAAAGAGACCCCUCCAACGUUCUUCUCAGUUUUACCCCAAAGUUGAGUUCUGGGUCAAAAAUCUCUCAAGCGUCCUCCACAGCUGACUUCCACAGUCCCCUGUGUGUCUCUGCAAGGAACACAAAGGAAGUGAGAUAGUGGGAAGUCUGGGGCCAUCUUCGGUCACGUGAGAAUUCCCUCUCAGUUAGCCGGGGCGUGCAGCCGCACAGAAGGAAGGCAGCCACGCAGCUCCAGUCCAGGCUGGGAGAGAGCUUUGUAGAUCCAUCUCCCACUGAGCAGGCUUCCCUCCUGCAAGGAGAGACUCUACCGAUAAUGUGUUAAGAUCAGAUUAAUGCAGGAAAUACACAUGAAAUAAAUAAUAACAGUGUAAUAACAGUGGCUGUCAUUGCAAUGGUUAUUUCUGUUAAAAAUGUGAGAUCUACACUACGGAUUUCUUAGGAUAAUUUUGCCCUUACUUAAAAGAAACUGACAGAUGUACUUUAUAAAAAUGAAAAUAAUUUAACAAAUAAAGAAUUGGAGAAUAUUGACUCAC